rnacentral:snoRNA from 15 species
UAUAUCUUAAUGAUGAUACAUUUCCUUCAGUGCAUAGUUCAACUGAUAAGGAUAACUUCCUAUAUGAAGAUAAAAAUUCAUCGAAUUUAGUCUUUCGCUCCUAUCUGAAAUCUCUG